rnacentral:lncRNA from 1 species
UACAUCAAAGAUCGCAAAACAAUCUGGGCAAAAAGAAUGUGACAAAACAGUGAACCUGUUGCACAUUCACACUAUCUACAAAACACUACACUUAUCUAACAAAGAAAUUGGCCUUAUCAUAUCUAAUCCUAAGAUUUGGAAGCUGUGAUUUAUCCAAGAAAUAAGCGCCUUUAGCUCCUGCUGGUAGUUGGCCAAAGUCGGUGUAUAGCACAGAUUCUCCACUGCUUGCUGCCAACUUUGCAAGGAAAUCUGAGACCAUGUUUGC